rnacentral:snRNA from 1 species
CGGGCCUCGAGUCGAUACAGAGCAAACGACCAUUUCGCCUUUUACUAAAUGAUCCUGUGUGCCGACUCGAUACCGGGCCUUAGUCCGAUUUUUGGGACCCACUGACGGUUUUCGUCAU